rnacentral:rRNA from 1 species
AGGGGCAGCAUGGUCUUAGCUUGCUAAGGCCGAUGGCGACCGGCGCACGGGUGAGUAACGCGUAUGCAACCUGCCCGAUACCGGGGUAUAGCCCAUGGAAACGUGGAUUAACACCCCAUAGUACUUUUAUCCUGCCUGGGAUGUGAGUUAAAUGUUCAAGGUAUCGGAUGGGCAUGCGUCCUAUUAGUUAGUUGGCGGGGUAACAGCCCACCAAGACGAUGAUAGGUAGGGGUUCUGAGAGGAAGGUCCCCACAUUGGAACUGAGACACGGUCCAAACUCC